GACGAACGCUGGCGGCGUGCUUAACACAUGCAAGUCGAGCGGUAAGGCCUCUUCGGGGGUACACGAGCGGCGAACGGGUGAGUAACACGUGGGUGACCUGCCCUCAGCUCUGGGAUAAGCCUGGGAAACUGGGUCUAAUACUGGAUAUUCACUUCCUAUCGCAUGGUGGGUGGUGGAAAGUUCUUUCGGCUGGGGGUGGGCCCGCGGCCUAUCAGCUUGUUGGUGGGGUGAUGGCCUACCAAGGCGACGACGGGUAGCCGGCCUGAGAGGGCGUCCGGCCACACUGGGACUGAGACACGGCCCAGACUCCUACGGGAGGCAGCAGUGGGGAAUAUUGCGCAAUGGGCGGAAGCCUGACGCAGCGACGCCGCGUGGGGAUGACGGCCUCGG
rnacentral:rRNA from 1 species